GACGAACGCUGGCGGCGUGCUUAACACAUGCAAGUCGAACGGAAAGGCCCUGCUUUUGUGGGGUGCUCGAGUGGCGAACGGGUGAGUAACACGUGAGUAACCUGCCCUUGACUUUGGGAUAACUUCAGGAAACUGGGGCUAAUACCGGAUAGGAGCUCCUGCUGCAUGGUGGGGGUUGGAAAGUUUCGGCGGUUGGGGAUGGACUCGCGGCUUAUCAGCUUGUUGGUGGGGUAGUGGCUUACCAAGGCUUUGACGGGUAGCCGGCCUGAGAGGGUGACAGGCGACAUUGGGAAUGAGAUACGGACCAGAAUGCAACGGGAGGCAGCAGGGGGGAAUAUUGCACAAUGGGCGGAAGCCUGAUGCAGAAACGCCGCGUGAGGGAUGACGGCCUUCGGGUUGUAAACCGAUUUCGACUGUGACGAAGAGUGAGUGACGGUAAUGGGUAAAGAAGCACCGGCUAACUACGUG
rnacentral:rRNA from 1 species